GAUGAAGAACGUAGCGAAAUGCGAUAAGUAGUGUGAAUUGCAGAAUUCAGUGAAUCAUCGAAUCUUUGAACGCACAUUGCGCCCCUUGGUAUCCCGAGGGGCAUGCCUGUUCGAGCGUCAUUUCACCACUCAAGCCUGGCUUGGUGUUGGGCGACGUCCCCUUGGGGACGCGCCUUGAAACGCUCGGCGGCGUGGCACCGGCUUUAAGCGUAGCAGAAUCUUUCGCUUUGGAAGUCGGGGCCCCGUCUGCCGGAAGACCUACUCGCAAGGUUGACCUCGGAUCAGGCAGGGAUACCCGCUGAACUUAAGCAUAUCAAUAAGCGGAGGA
rnacentral:misc_RNA from 1 species